UUAAAACCAAAAAAAAAAAGCAAAUGGAAAUACUUUAAUUUGAUUCACAUAAGAACAUCAUGAACCCAAAUCCCAGAAGAUGAUCUUAAUUAAUUUCAGCGAGACCGGCGAGUAAUUAGAUGAUGAUCAUAUGAUGUUCUUGAUGAUCUUGGAAGGUAUACUAUUGACUCAGAAACAUCAGAAGCUCCUUUACAGGAAUUGUAAAGAUUUAUGAAUCCAAACCUGUCACUAAUGCUUCUUGACACCUUUGUAACAUUCCAGAAGUUACUAACAGUAACAGAUUCUUCAUCAUCAUCAUCACCCUUGGAACAUUCAACUAAUGCAGUGAAG
rnacentral:misc_RNA from 1 species